UGAGACUUCGAACUAGAUGGGGAGGAUUCCUUCAUUCGAUCAAUUACAUUUCCUGAAAGCCGGACGCCUUCACCACGGUCAUGUUCUCCAAGGUGACCCGGCCGGUGCUGUCGGUCCCGCCCAUGGCGCCUGCCUCUGUCCCGCACAGUCCUAUCACGGACCCAGGAGCGUAUCAGGCCCCGCGCACAUGCGCGUGGAGGACGGGACACUUCCCUUGCCCAGCGGGAGCAAGGCCACGACCUCAAGAACCAAGGGAAAGGUAAAGAAGGCAUACAGGCAGAAGGCCCUCUCCUGCCACCCAGACAAAAAUCCAGAUAAUCCCCGAGCAGCUGAACUCUUCCACCAGCUGUCUCAGGCCUUGGAAGUGCUGACCGAUGCUGCGGCCAGGGCUGCAUAUGACAAGGUCAGGAAAGCCAAGAAGCAGGCAGCAGCGAGGACCCAGAAACUUGAUGAGAAAAGGAAAAGAGUGAAGCUUGACCUGGAGGCCCGGGAGCGGCAGGCACAGGCCCAGGGGAAUGAGGAGGAGGAGGAGAGCCGGAGCACCAGGACUCUGGAGCAGGAGAUUGCACGCCUACGAGAUGAGGGUUCCCGGCAGCUGGAGGAGCAGCAGAGGCUGAUCCGGGAGCAGAUACGCCAGGACCUUGAGCAGAGGCUGAGAGGAGCUUUUCCAGCCCUUCAUUUGGAGAGAACUACAGGUGACCUUCAGAAGGUGGAAAAUACUGAAGGCAAAGGAACCCCCAAACUAAAGCUGAAGUGGAAGUGCAAGAAGGAGGAUGAGUCCCAAGGCGGCUACUCCAAAGAUGUCCUUCUGCGGCUUUUACAGAAGUAUGGCGAGGUUCUCAACCUGGUGCUUUCCAGUAAAAAGGCAGGCACUGCUGUGGUGGAGUUUUCAACUGUCAAGGCUGCGGCACCUCCCUGGCACCCUUCCUGAGAGAGGCAAGUCUGCAAUGUGAAAGAAGGCAGAUUUGGCAAGACGUUGUUCUAAAACCAAAACUAGACAGUUCUCACCAGCGGCGAUUGCCACGGAGCAGAAGCUUGAGCAGCUCCCAGGCUCGGUGGUUUGGGCUGCAAAAUAGAGCGCACAAGGCUCCAAGUUGUCAAAAUCUCAGGAGCUGGCUGUCCAGAAUGAAGUGGGCCUGGUGGAUAACCCUCUGAAGAUUUCCUGGUUGGAGGGACAGCCCCGGGGCAUGGCGGGUGCCAGCCACCCAGAACUGUCCAAGGGCUCAGUGGUGUCAGAGAAGGA